rnacentral:lncRNA from 1 species
AGCAUGAGGCUCUUAAUUUUAUUUAUAUAUGGAGUAUUAUAUAUUGUGUUCCGUCCAAUAUAAGCUUUGCACGAGCAAGCUCAACGAGCUUCGAACAUGAUACUCAGAUACAUGGAGAAAUACAGCUCAGAUUGCUGGAUACUCAGAUAAAUGCAAAAUUCAAGCAGAAAUACAAAAGAUACAUAUAGAACAUAAUCGUAAAAGGUUUAUACAGUUCGUUAGAGGUACCCUCAUUUUUCAUUUGCAUGAUUCCUUUAUCUUGGAUACCAUAUGCUCAGAUUUCUGCAAUAAAAGGCCAGCUUAAUAAUUAGAUGACAUCACCCAGGAUUGAGAACAUUAAGGCCUAAUUCGAACUUAUAUCAUAUUCUCAUUUUUAAUCAAAUAUAAUUUUAUAUUCAGUUAUUAAAUUUUGUAACUUGUAUCUAUUUAUAUUAAAUAAUCUCAGUUUUUAGUUUAUUCAAUCAAUUAACAUAAAUAUAAAUAUUCAAAUUACCAAAAAAAUCCACAUAUUGAUAUCCGAAUUUUAAUCAAAAAAAUCACCAGCGUAGCCGCCCUACUCGGAACAGAAAAAAAAAUAAAACAUACCAGUCCGUCCCUACCAGGGUCGACCGAGAAUUUGGUGGUCGAAAAUAACCACUUCUUUAUCCGCCCGUGGCAGGGUCGGCCAGGAGUAAAACCUCCAUUUGCAUGUGUCCGCCAGGAAAGCUUGAAUUAGGGUAAGUGAAAAAACGGUGGUUAGUGGAGCCUCCCGACACCAUCUUGAUAUGGUCCCUUAACACUCAUCAUUUAAUGUACUGCCUAAACUGAAGUUACUGUUGAAAAAACGAGUGAGAACGCGGACGGAGUAAGCAGAAAACGGUAGUUAUUUUCUGUCUUGCUAUUGACAUUUACCGAACAUAUUUACCCUUUUGAUAUAUGCGGUCCCGUUCCGAAGGACAAGCCCCCGCAAUUUAGCUUGUAACAUUCAUUAUAUUCCUAACCUGCGGACUGAAUGCGGUCCGAUUUCGAGGGUCAAGUCUCAACAAUUUAGCUUGUAACAUCCAUUAUAUUUCUAUCCUUCAUUAUUCGAGUAGUGUGAAUACAUGAGCCCAUUCCAAUUAAAACUCAUCACAUAUUAUUAUCUACAAAAUUUUGUACACAAUCCUGUGCACCAAACAUUUUUCUUAUUAUUCUCUCGAUCCCAUAAAAUACUAUGCACAUGGGGUAUGACACGGAGGUUAAAAAAAUGUGUAAUUUACCGACGAUAAGUAAGAAAGAAUAUAAAUUGAGUGCGCCUGUUUUGUCAGCUGAUCACCCAAUUCUCACCAAGGUUCUUUAUCUUUCCUAAGUUCAUAAUUUCACUCGGUCUGUUGAUCCUUUGAAAGAGAAGUUCAUAAAUCUAAGAAUGAUUCGCAUAAAACAUGCAUACCAUAAUCUUACCGCAAACAUGUAUCUCCUUCUUAUACUCCUUGUGGCAAUCUUUUACCAUCAUUGUUCUUUCGUCAACAAGAAAAAUUUAUUGGCCUUAUAUGUAAUGCAACUAGACAAUCACAAACUCCAUCUGGUUGAAACAAUAUUGUUGUCAUGUUUUCUAGUUAUGUUUUAUUUCAAGCUACAUUCACGACAAGUUUAUCUGGUAAAUUAUGCAUGUUACAAGCCAGACGCCUCUUUAAUGUGUAGCAAACAACAGUUCAUGCACCUCUCAAGGAGCUCCGGGGCUUUCACGGAAGAAAGCUUGGCUCUUCAGAAGAAAGUAUUGGAAAGGUCAGGAAUCGGUGAGAAGACGUAUUUGUCGGAGGGGCUGCUGACAGUUCCACCAAAGGUGGGUUUGAGUGAGGCAAGAAAAGAGGCGGAGAAAGUGAUGUUUGGAGCUGUAGAUGAGCUCUUUAGUAAGGUCAGGCUCAAGGUAAAUGACAUUGGAAUUUUGGUGUUGAAUUGCAGCAUGUUCAGUCCAACACCAUCUUUGUCUUCUGCUAUAGUUAAUCGUUACAAGCUAAGAAGUAACAUUUUGAGCUACAAUCUUGGUGGAAUGGGUUGCAGUGCAGGAAUGAUUUCUAUCGAUCUUGCCAAACAUCUUUUACAAGUAAGUAGCCGUAACAAUUCAUUUACCAUACUAGUAAGUAAUUAAAAUUAGGUGUAUAAAAUUAGUAAGUAGCCUUACCUUUCAUCUACACAGCUUGCAUGAAUUUGUAUAAAAUUACUAGUAAAAACUAAAAAGUUAAAAUGACCAUCUCACAAGAAAAACUGAAAAUGACAAUCAAAGUACUAUUUAUCAUUCUUGCUAUUAUUACCUAAUUAUUAAAUAAAUUUCUAGAAAAUCUCAUAUUUGUACUUAAAUUAAUAAAUGUAUGUGUGCAAUAAGUAUUCCAUAUUAUGUACAUAUAAUUUUAUAUAUUUGAGUUGAAUGUGAAUUAAGUUGUGAAAAUAGAACUUCUAUAUUUAUCACUUAUAUCAUUUUAGAAGUCCCUGUAUUCAAAAUUAAAUUGUGUCCGUCUUUUAAAUUUACAAAUUAAAAUUUUAACUAGAUUUGAAAUCAUAUAUUAUUAAUUAAAAAUUAACAAAUAAUAUAUACCACGCUGAUAACUAAUUAAAAUUAGGUUCCUUUUUAUAUUUAAAUAAAUAUAUUGUCAAAAUUAUAAGAAAACUUGAAAUAAUAUAUUAAUUGAAAAAUAACAAUUAAUACAUACUAAUACACUAUUAAUUAACUGAAGUUAAGUAUCCUUUUAUAUGUGUAACAAGGUCACAUACAAGAACAUUGUAAUUCAUUUGAUUUUACUGCCCAGCAUAAGUAGGGUACUUCAUUCAAUUCCAACACUCAACACUCAUAAUAUUUUACUAUUUUAACACAUGUACUGACAUUCAUUUAAUUCAUCCAUAUUAUUUACUAUAUAUGUUGCACUCAUUUAAUUUCACUGUCACAUAUUAUCAUAUAUAUCACUAUUUAACAUUCAUUUUAUUGAGUUUGAAUAUUUAAUAUACAAUCAAAACACUAUUUACUCAUUUAAUUUCACAUUCAAACAUAAUCAUGUUUUCACAUACAAACAUAAUCAUGUUACAGUAUAUUUAAUCCAUCAUCUUGUCUCUAUAUCAUAAAUUCAAUUAAUUAAAUCAAUGAAAAAAAUAUAACUAUAUGCUCAAUUCCAACAAAUUUUUCAUGACACAAAAAUAUUCAAUUUGAAUUAUAUAAGUCUUUGUAAUUUUUGCAAGGAUACAAAUUUUCAAUAUUUAUAUGAAUUGCUUUUGCUGUUCGACUUUAACAUUUUGGAUCAGUUAACUUAGAAAUUAUAAUGGCUAACACAAGACAUAACUACAGAUGCAACCCAAUUGCUACGCCCUGGUAAUCAACGUCGAAUGUAGCAACCAAAACUGGUACCGCUCAAUGCUCAUCUCAAACUGCAUUUUUCGCGUUGGUGGCGCUGCGAUUUUACUCUCCAAUCGAUCCAUUGAUCGUUUUUGUUCCAAGUACCGACUCACUCACACUGUGCGUACUCAUAAAGGAGCAGAUGAUUUAGCUUACAACUCUGUAUCGCAACAAGAAGACGACGACAACAUUGUCGGCAUCAAGCUCUCUAAAGAACUUAUUGCUGUUGCUGGAGAUGCGAUAAAAACCAACAUCACAGCACUUGGCCCAUUAGUCCUUCCAUUUUCAGAGCAAUUCUUGUUUUUAGCAACCAAACUUGCCAAGAAGAUCUUCAAGAUGAAAAUUGCGGUUUAUGUUCCAGAUUUUAAGCUAGCUAUCGAGCACUUCUGUUUCCAUGCAGGCGGACCAGCUGUGUUGGAUGCAAUGGAGAAAAACUUGCAGAUGACGGAAUGGCAUAUGGAGCCUUCAAGAAUGAGCCUUUACAGGUUUGGUAAUACUUCCAGCUGUUCUAUCUGGUAUGAGCUUGCAUAUGCUGAGGCUAAGGGCAGGAUCCGAAAAGGGGACAGGGUUUGGCAGAUCGCAUUUGGGUCAGGCUUCAAGUGUAGCAGUUCUGUGUGGCGUGCUCUGACAGAUGUUGAUCCGAUUGGGGAGGAAAAUCCUUGGAUGGAUUGCAUCAACGACUUCCCAGUGAUCGUGCCUAAAGUACAAGUUUUUGAGUAAUUUCACAUUCUCAGUUCCUCUUUUGUUGUUUCCAGUACUUCCUUUUAAUCCAUUUGUUAAUAUAAACUAGCUUGCAAGUGAGGAUAUUAAUCCAUGGCAAGAUGUGCAGCAGUGCAAGAUAUAUAUUCAGGGUUGUAAUAAAUGGUUUGUACUAUGAAUUUGAUAUCAGAAGCUUUUAUUUAUUAGACAAAUCUUUAUCUUAGGUGUGCAGACAAAGCACUUGGCACUUAAUUUUAGUUUCAAGCAGUUAUUGCUACAUUUUAGUUCUUCUCAGCAAUUUUUGUUUCAAAAUUACUAUUCGUCUCUAAAUAUAAACCCUGGAUAUGCAAGCAUGAUCACUGAAGCAUGAGGCUCUUAAUUUUAUUUAUAUAUGGAGUAUUAUAUAUUGUGUUCCGUCCAAUAUAAGCUUUGCACAAGCAAGCUCAACGAGCUUCAAACAUGAUACCCAGAUACAAGAGAAAUACAGCUCAGAUUGCUGGAUACUCAGAUAAAAGCAGAAUUCAAGCAGAAAUACAAAACAUACAUAUAGAACAUAUUUAGAAGGUUUAUGCAGUUCGUUAGAGGUACCCUCAUCUUUCAUUUGC